GCCCGUAUGGCCAAGUUGGUAAGGCGUCGCACUUGUAAUCCAAUUCCUUAUCAGCGUGCCGUGGAAGGGAGUCUACGGCACGAAGGGGGAGGGAGGGAAGAGAUGCGAAGAUCCAUAGUUCGAUUCUGUGUGUGGGCA